rnacentral:rRNA from 1 species
CGUGUAGGUGGCAUUCCAAGUCUGGUGUGAAAUCCCACGGCUCAACCGUGGAACUGCAUUGGAAACUGGAACGCUCGAGGGUUGGAGGGGGUCGCGGAAUUCCCGGUGUAGAGGUGAAAUUCGCAGAUAUCGGGAGGAACACCAGUGGCGAAGGCGGCGACCUGGCCAAUCACUGACACUGAGACGCGAAAGCGUGGGGAGCAAACA